rnacentral:ncRNA from 2 species
AAAUUAAAUAAAUAUUCACUUCGUAUAUGCUUGAAGAUAAGGUUCAAGCGUUUCUACCGGGUUGCCGUAAAUUACCUGACUACGAAUGUUUAAUUACUUAUA